AAAGCAUGAAGUGGCUUUGUGGAACUUUGCUUGGGGUUCAACUUUUUGGUUUCGGGAGGUAGAGAUAUUUGUUCCAGAAGCUUCAAUCCCUCUGGCCGGCAAUCUCAAUCCUCCGCUUCAUCUAGUUGCUGCCGUGGGUUCCGCCGUUCAAGCUCCCCCCUUCUCUGAUUGUAAGCGCCGGCAUCGACUGUGGUCCUUCAGUCCGUGUGCUCUGUGUGUGUUCAGAUCUUUUUCUCCAUUCAUCUGCGUCCUCGUCCGUCGCUGUGGUGUCCGUGUUGCGUGGGUGUAUCAGAAUUUCCUUCCCCUCUGUUCCAGGUGUGCGUCGCCGAUGGGUGUAGGGGGUGGUUCGCUGCUGUUGGUGGUUUGAGUGAAGAGCUUAUCCCCUGUUCCGUCUGUUCCGAUGGCUCCUUUCUUUUCUCUCUUGUUGCUGAAUUAAGUGAACACUCAACACUUAAACAAAUGCCUUUAAACAAGUCAAAGAAGAAGAGAACUCAUGCAAAUCUGAGCUUUGGAGGAGCAUUACAACAACUCUAACAAUGUUUAAGCUCGAAAGGAGUAGAUCUAAGCAAGCAUAAAGAGACUUUGGAGGAGAAUAUCAGAACAAGCACAAGGAAGCUUUAGAGAAGCAUAUUUGAGCAGGGAUCACGGAGGAGUAGAUUUGAGCAAACAAGAAAAGAGAACUUUAGGGCAAAAAAUUCCACCACAUUUAUUUUUUAAAUGUAAUAUGGAAUAUGCUUGAGAUCCAUACUUUAUUAAACUUUAAAUGAAAAAUUCUAUUUAAAUUCA